rnacentral:tRNA from 1 species
GGUAAGGAGCUUACUGGUAGAGCACUUGCCUCGCAUGCACAGGGUUCUGGGUUUGAUCCCCGGUACCA